UUCACACGUCAGUUGUGUGGCAAUUGCUAAAGGUGGCGGACGCGUAUUUUAGUUGAAGCGGUUCGUGCAGUUAGAUCGUGUCAUGAAGCUACAGGUGUUGUGUGUGUGCGCUCUGCUCUGCACUGUAGCGUGUCGCAGUCUGGACGAGGGGAGGCAGGGACUCAUCCCGACUGCGCAGCUUGAUGAUGGAGUCGUCAAAAGCAGAGCGAAAAGACAAAUCAUCGGUUCUUGUGGUUGUCCUAAAGGAUAUGCCAAAUUAUUUGGAAUAUGUGUACCGUGUCCAGAUUACGAGGACAUAGUGGGCCAGGAGUGUCCUGCACAAUGCUGACCAGGAUCCACGAUAACAAAGUACUCCUGGUGGCCAGGCAGAGCAGACUAGGACUGAGAGGAGCUCGCUUGCGCGUGCGCCGGCUCAGGUGCAACGUACCAAAGACUUGAAGACCCGGCCAUGACGUCGCGCCUUCAGACUUAAUAGUAGAUCGAAAGAAGUGUUCAACGGAAAAAACGGCCUAACUGAUAUUUUAUGGAAUGAUUUUGUUAACCUGAACACACUGGAAUAUAAUUUUUAUGUACAUGCAAUAUGGCCUUUAUUAGCUUUGUAGAAUUGAUAGUCUCAAACAUUUGUUAAGUAACGAAAACUGCUCAAUGAAAAUUUACCGAUAUUAACGAAAUUGUAAGCAGUUACAAAAAUAACCGACAUUUUAGCGACUUACACCUUACCUAAUUAACUUAUGCAAAUAAAGCUAACAAUUUAUAUAAUUACAACCAUUUAAAAAAAAAUAUUUGGAUCAUUUUACUCUUGCAGUAAUAAAUAUACAAACAUGUUACUCUAAUGGUUGCUAUAAGUCCUAACAGGGCAAUCAAUAUGUGUCCUUAAGUCAUAUCUUAAUUGCUCAACUUAUUUAUUUGUUAAUUAAAAUUAAAUUUGUAAAUAAA